rnacentral:rRNA from 1 species
UACGUAGGGUGCGAGCAUUGUCCGGAAUUAUUGGGCGUAAAGAGCUCGUAGGCGGCUUGUCGCGUCGAUCGUGAAAACUUGUGGCUCAACUACAAGCUGGCGGUCGAUACGGGCAGGCUGGAGUUCGGUAGGGGAGACUGGAAUUCCUGGUGUAGCGGUGAAAUGCGCAGAUAUCAGGAGGAACACCGGUGGCGAAGGCGGGUCUCUGGGCAUUAACUGACGCUGAGGAGCGAAAGCAUGGGGAGCGAACAGG